GACGAACGCUGGCGGCGUGCUUAACACAUGCAAGUCGAACGGAAAGGCCCUGCUUUUGUGGGGUGCUCGAGUGGCGAACGGGUGAGUAACACGUGAGUAACCUGCCCUUGACUUUGGGAUAACUUCAGGAAACUGGGGCUAAUACCGGAUAGGAGCUCCUGCUGCAUGGUGGGGGUUGGAAAGUUUGGGCGGUUGGGGAUGGACUCGCGGCUUAGCAGCUUGUUGGUGGGGUAGUGGCUUACCAAGGCUUUGACGGGUAGCCGGCCUGAGAGGGUGACCGGCCACAGUGGGACAGAGAUACGGCCCGGACUACUACGGGAGGCAGCAGUGGGGAAUAUUGCACAAUGGGCGGAAGCCUGAUGCAGCAACGCCGCGUGCGGGAUGACGGCCUUCGGGUUGUAAACCGCUUUCGCCGGUGACGAAGCGUGAGUGACGGUAAUGGGUAAAGAAGCACCGGCUAACUACGUG
rnacentral:rRNA from 1 species